rnacentral:rRNA from 1 species
CUGGUUGAUCCUGCCAGUAGUCAUAUGCUUGUCUCAAAGAUUAAGCCAUGCAUGUCUAAGCAUAAGCCGAAUAUGGUUAAGCCGCGAAUGGCUCAUUACAACAGCCUUAGUUUAUUGGAUCUUAAAGUCCUACUUGGAUAACUGUGGUAAUUCUAGAGCUAAUACACGCAAUCAAUCCUCAACCUUACGGGCGAGGAGCAUUUAUUAGAACAAAACCAAUCGGCUUCGGCCGUCUUUGGUGAAUCUGAAUAACUACGCUGAUCGCAUGGUCUCGUACCGGCGACAUAUCCUUCAAGUGUCUGCCUUAUCAACUGUCGAUGGUAGUUUACACGCCUACCAUGGUUGUAACGGGUAACGGAGAAUAAGGGUUCGACUCCGGAGAGGGAGCCUGAGAAACGGCUACCACAUCCAAGGAAGGCAGCAGGCGCGCAAAUUACCCACUCUCAGAACGAGGAGGUAGUGACGAAAAAUAACGAGACAGUUCUCUAUGAGGUCUGUCAUCGGAAUGGGUACAAUUUAAACCCUUUAACGAGGAUCUAUUGGAGGGCAAGUCUGGU